CGGACAGUUCUUGAAAGUUUCUUAGAGUGCUCAAAGGUUCUUCUAACUUGAAUAAAAUUUAAUAAACUUCUUUAAACAAUACUUUUACUCAGUUUAUGAGAGGCCUUUUGAAGCCAAGUACCACAUCCCAAGUCUUCCAGUUUUGGCCAAAAUGAAAAUAACACUGCGUACAACAACAAAAAUUACUUCUCCAGUUCUUAUCCUUGCAAUCAUCGGUUGAUCAAGUCAUCAGAAUUAUGCAAAUAUUACAAAAACCAACACAAAUCAUUGACAGCCUAAAGGUCAAAUGGAAAUUGAACUCAAACCGGUGACAAAAUCCAACAGUCACAGAGGAAUGUGACGGAGGAGGGUUAAAGAGCAGCGCAAAAGCCACAAUAACUGUAUCUAUUACUGGCAAAACAUUAAGAUAAAAAAAUACACACACAAAUACACAUCGACAUGAAGCUCAACAGUUGCCACCGAAGCUAAGAAUAUUGCACAACAACUUCGAUGAAAGAGUUUUGAAAAAAAAAAACAACAAAAAAAUUAGAAUCCAAAUGGUCUAUAUUUACACUGACCACACAGUUGGAAGAUUAGACGGAGGUUGUGAGAGUAUGAGUAACAAACUUCAUCAAAAAUCAUGCUGUGGCAUGCCACAUACAAACAUAUGGCAUACAGGGAGCCACAGACAGCGCUGAGUGACUGACCAAAUGGUAGCAUAUCAACGUUUGGGCUUGUUGUUUGAACCUUAUACAAACAAAAAUUUACUUCAUUGUGCCUUUAAGGCCAUUCGAAUUUAAACGAAGCUCAUACGAAUUAUUCAAAUUCAAAUGCUUCGUAAGCAUCAUCAAUGUCAAAAACCUCAAGCAGACGACAACAAAGCGAAAAAAUACACAGAAAUUGUGUAAACAUCCUGUAUAAUGGAAUUUAACAAAAAAAACAAAAAAAAAGAGAAAAGUGUCCAAAGAAAAGCAGCAAAUAAGGCAAAGUCAGCAGAAGAGGGAAGAGCAAAAAAAGUUUUUGCACAACCUUUGCCGAAGUCUUCUUUGCUGGAUUAUCAGUCGAAAUUUUUGAAAAUUUCUUCAGCUUCAAGGAUGCAUUACGCCAUUGAAGACACACACUAUUCAAUUUUUGUUGCUGUUUUGCAGUUUCACUUUUAUUUUCUACGCAUGUAGACAGGUGUCUGUGAGAUUGUAGCUUGCCUUGAUUAAUUUUUAGCCGACAAUUUACUUGUUGACUUUUUCUACUGUAGCUUAAUUGAAUUACUUAUCGAUUAGUCGUGACAGAAAUGAAAAACGAAACGAAGUGCGCAGUAGAUAGUGACAAGAUUAUGAGCGAUUGCUCGUGGAAUUAUUAAAGGGUUGGAGUUUGAAAUUGCAUUAUGGAUUAAAAAAUAUUAAAAAGAUGAUUUUUCGUUCACAAAUUCAAAAAGUUUGGAAAAGCAGGAAAACAUUUUAGCGCCUAAAGGAUAAGUUAUGCAUUAUUAGCUUAAUGAUUUUCAGUCCUUAUUUUGUUUUGGAAAAUUUACGGGUC